AGUGAACGCUGGCGGUAGGCCUAACACAUGCAAGUCGAACGGCAGCACAGUAAGAGCUUGCUCUUACGGGUGGCGAGUGGCGGACGGGUGAGGAAUACAUCGGAAUCUACUUUUUCGUGGGGGAUAACGUAGGGAAACUUACGCUAAUACCGCAUACGACCUACGGGUGAAAGCAGGGGAUCUUCGGACCUUGCGCGAUUGAAUGAGCCGAUGUCGGAUUAGCUAGUUGGCGGGGUAAAGGCCCACCAAGGCGACGAUCCGUAGCUGGUCUGAGAGGAUGAUCAGCCACACUGGAACUGAGACACGGUCCAGACUCCUACGGGAGGCAGCAGUGGGGAAUAUUGGACAAUGGGCGCAAGCCUGAUCCAGCCAUACCGCGUGGGUGAAGAAGGCCUUCGGGUUGUAAAGCCCUGUUGUUGGGAAAGAAAAGCAGCAGGUGAAUACCCCGCUGUUCUGACGGUACCCAAAGAAUAAGCACCGGCUGACUUCGUG
rnacentral:rRNA from 1 species